rnacentral:rRNA from 1 species
UACAGAGGUCUCAAGCGUUUGUUCGGGAUUCAUUGGGCGUAAAGGGUGCGUAGGCGGCGCGGUAAGUCGGGUGUGAAAUCUCGGAGCUUAACUCCGAAACUGCAUUCGAUACUGCCGUGCUUGAGGACUGGAGAGGAGACUGGAAUUUACGGUGUAGCGGUGAAAUGCGUAGAUAUCGUAAGGAAGACCAGUGGCGAAGGCGGGUCUCUGGACAGUUCCUGACGCUGAGGCACGAAGGUCAGGGGGAGCAAACGGG